rfam:Ixodes scapularis strain Wikel colony gcontig_1108378775130, whole genome shotgun sequence.
GCAGUCGUGGCCGAGUGGUUAAAGCAAUGGACUAGAAAUCCAUUGGGGUCUCCCCGCACAGGUUCGGACCCUGUCGACUGCG